AGAAGUGGCCUUGAUUCAACACAAGAGGUGGUGUGAAGGACUGUUUCAGAUUUUCUUAACCAAAUAUUGCCCUUUCAUAUAUGGGCAUGCCAAGAUAAAACUUGGUGCCCAAUUGGGAUAUUGUGCUUAUCUCACAUGGGCUCCUAUUUCCUUGCCAACACUGUACUAUGUGAUUGUACCUCCUCUUUGCCUUCUCCAUGGCAUUCCCUUAUUCCCUCAGGUUUCAAGCAAAUGGUUCCUACCAUAUGCAUAUGUUUUCAUAUCCAAGACUGUAUACAGCAUCGUGGAGUCUUCAGCUUGUGGUAGCACCAUUAAAGGCUGGUGGAACUUGCAAAGGAUGUGGGUGUUUCGAAGAACAACAUCGUAUUUUUUUGCAUUCAUCGAUACCAUUAUCAAACAAGUAGGCUUGUCGCAGACAACUUUCGCCAUUACCCCGAAGAUGGUGACAGACGAUGUGUUGAAGAGGUACAAGCAAGAGGUCAUAGAAUUCGGAAGCUCAAACACAAUGUUCACCAUUAUAGCAACACUAGCAAUGCUAAACCUUUUCAGUUUUGUUGGGGCGAUGGCGAAGAGGGUUACUGAUUUAGAGAUGGAUUUCAAGACUCUAGAAAUGUUGAUGCCUCAGGUUAUUCUCUGCGGAUUCGUGAUUAUGGUUAACUUGCCGGUGUACCAAGCUCUCUUCUUCCGCAAUGACAAGGGGUGCAUGCCACAUGGUGUUAUGUUCAAGUCCCUAGUUUUAGCUUCAUUGGCAUGUCUGGUCCCCAUAUAAAUUAGAAAAAACAUUUUGAUUUGAUAUUCAC
rnacentral:misc_RNA from 1 species